rnacentral:tRNA from 1 species
AGCUCUGGGGUGUAAUCAUGUUAGAUUGCAAAUCUAAAGAAGCAGAUGAAUAGUCUGCCGGAGCUU